AUUGAACGCUGGCGGCAUGCCUUACACAUGCAAGUCGAACGGUAACAGGUUAAGCUGACGAGUGGCGAACGGGUGAGUAAUAUAUCGGAACGUGCCCAGUCGUGGGGGAUAACUGCUCGAAAGAGCAGCUAAUACCGCAUACGACCUGAGGGUGAAAGCGGGGGAUCGCAAGACCUCGCGCGAUUGGAGCGGCCGAUAUCAGAUUAGGUAGUUGGUGGGGUAAAGGCUCACCAAGCCAACGAUCUGUAGCUGGUCUGAGAGGACGACCAGCCACACUGGAACUGAGACACGGUCCAGACUCCUACGGGAGGCAGCAGUGGGGAAUUUUGGACAAUGGGCGCAAGCCUGAUCCAGCAAUGCCGCGUGCAGGAAGAAGG
rnacentral:rRNA from 1 species